rnacentral:rRNA from 1 species
GAUGAACGCUGGCGGCGUGCUUAACACAUGCCAGUCGAACGAAGCACUUUAUUUGAUUUCCUUCGGGACUGAUUAUUUUGUGACUGAGUGGCGGACGGGUGAGUAACGCGUGGGUAACCUGCCUUGUACAGGGGGAUAACAGUUGGAAACGGCUGCUAAUACCGCAUAAGCGCACGGCAUCGCAUGAUGCAGUGUGAAAAACUCCGGUGGUAUAAGAUGGACCCGCGUUGGAUUAGCUAGUUGGUGAGGUAACGGCCCACCAAGGCGACGAUCCAUAGCCGACCUGAGAGGGUGACCGGCCACAUUGGGACUGAGACACGGCCCAAACUCCUACGGGAGGCAGCAGUGGGGAAUAUUGCACAAUGGGCGAAAGCCUGAUGCAGCGACGCCGCGUGAGCGAAGAAAUAUUUCGGUAUGUAAAGCUCUAUCAGCAGGGAAGAUAAUGACGGUACCUGACUAAGAAGCACCGGCUAAAUACGUG